AUCAAAAAGCAUGAUAUCGAGUUCAAAAAUCAAGAACACGAAAAAAAAAAUGAUAUUAUAAAUUAUGAUAACGAAUUCUCCAUUUAAAAACACGAAAAGAAUUAAAUUUAAUCAUUACAAAAAUCAUGAUAACGAGUUCACAAAUAAGAACAUCAAAAGAGAUAGGUAAAACUUGGCCAUGCUUGAUGUAUGCUGCCAGUUAGUUUCAUGUCAUCUGAGUAAAGAAGUAACAUGAAAUUAACAGUGGACAGAAGAAAAGCAGGUUUAUUCCAUGGUGUUGAUCUCCUAUUUAUGCCUUGUAAAAGGAGGCUAAUGGUUACGCAGAUUUUGUAGCCAUGGCAGGGAUAAGAAGAGAAAGGGUUGUUAGUGACGUGUGUCUGAAUUGGGAAAGGACCAAAGAGCAGGGUAAAGACCGAGGCAAAAGCUGCAACCGGGUGCUGUCUCAGGUUUAAAACAAUGAUGAGGUGACAUGGUUGGGUUGAGUCAUGGCGAAAAGAUGGACGUGCAGUUGUGUCGAUCAACAGUAGGGCGGUGUAAGGCGUAUGACUGUUUGCAAAGGAGAGUUCCUACUCCUUCUACAUGGCUUACAAAAUCCAAAGAACAGGGGAAGAUAGGUAUUGGCAUUUCUAUGGCUGUAUAAACAACUGUGAUUCUGUGAAUACAAACAAACAUAUACUCGUAUACAAAUUGCUCUACUCUCACUCUAAGGCUACCAAAAUUAAAAAAAAAAAA